GGAAUUUUGGGCAAUGGGCGACAGCCUGACCAAGCAACGCCGCGUGGGUGAUGAAGUCUCUUGGGACGUAAAACCCUUUCGACAGGGACGAAACCGCACGGUUGACGGUCCCUGUAGAAGAAGACCCGGCUAACUCCGUGCCAGCAGCCGCGGUAAUACGGGGGGGGCAAGAGUUGUUCGGAAUUACUGGGCGUAAAGGGCGCGUAGGCGGCUCGCUAAGUCGGAUGUGAAAACUCUGGGCUCAACCCAGAGCCUGCAUCCGAAACUGGAGGGCUAGAGUUCUGGAGGGGAAAGCGGAAUUCCUGGUGUAGCGGUGAAAUGCGUAGAUAUCAGGAGGAACACCGGUGGCGAAGGCGGCUUUCUGGACAGAAACUGACGCUGAGGCGCGAAAGCCAGGGGAGCAAAC
rnacentral:rRNA from 1 species